UGGAGAGUUUGAUCCUGGCUCAGGACGGAACGCUGGCGGCGUGCUUAACACAUGCAAGUCGAACGGAAAGGVCCUUCGGGGUGCUCGAGUGGCGAACGGGUGAGUAACACGUGGGUGAUCUGCCCUGCACUUUGGGAUAAGCCUGGGAAACUGGGUCUAAUACCGAAUAGGACUCCGGACUGCAUGGUCUGGGGUGGAAAGCUUUUGCGGUGUGGGAUGGGCCCGCGGCCUAUCAGCUUGUUGGUGGGGUGAUGGCCUACCAAGGCGACGACGGGUAGCCGGCCUGAGAGGGUGACCGGCCACACUGGGACUGAGAUACGGCCCAGACUCCUACGGGAGGCAGCAGUGGGGAAUAUUGCACAAUGGGCGCAAGCCUGAUGCAGCGACGCCGCGUGAGGGAUGACGGCCUUCGGGUUGUAAACCUCUUUCAGCACAGACGAAGCGCGAGUGACGGUAUGUGCAGAAGAAGGCCGGCCAACUACGUGCCAGCAGCCGCGGUA
rnacentral:rRNA from 1 species